UUUGUAGUAGAAGGCAACUGGGACCCAAAACAGCUGAUGAAGUCGCAAGCUAACAAGGCACCUACCUGCCAAGCUACCCUUGCAUCAUAUGAAAAUUAAAAUGCUCUUAAUGAAAUUCCAACUCAGUCAAGAGGCUGCGGGUCAGUCGAUGAUGAUGUGCAACCAAAAUGUGGCUUAGAUUAGAUUCCAGAAACCCCCAUCAAUUUACAAUAUGAAUACCAUGG
rnacentral:lncRNA from 1 species